rnacentral:rRNA from 1 species
CUAGCAUAUCAAUAAGCGGAGGAAAAGAAACUAACGAGGAUUCCCCUAGUAACUGCGAGUGAAGCGGGAAAAGCUCAAAUUUGAAAUCUGGCAGUCUUUUUUUCCUUCUUUGGCUGUCCGAGUUGUAAUCUAGAGAAGCGUUUACCUGCGCUGGACCAUGUAUAAGUCUCCUGGAACGGAGCGUCACAGAGGGUGAGAAUCCCGUCUUUGACAUGGACUGCCAGCGUGUUGUGGUGCGCUCUCAAAGAGUCGAGUUGUUUGGGAAUGCAGCUCUAAAUGGGUGGUAAACUCCAUCUAAAGCUAAAUAUUGGCGAGAGACCGAUAGCGAACAAGUACCGUGAGGGAAAGAUGAAAAGGACUUUGGAAAGAGAGUUAAACAGUAUGUGAAAUUGUUGAAAGGGAAACGCUUGAAGUCAGUCAUGUCGGCUGGGGAUCAACCUAGCUGCUUCUGCUGGGUGAACUUCCUAGUCUGACAGGCCAACAUCAGUUCUGACUGCUGGAAAAGAGCAAGGGGAAUGUGGCACCUUCGGGUGUGUUAUAGCCUUUUGUCAUGUGUGGCAGUCAGGACUGAGGGAUGCAGCGCGCCGCAAGGCAGGGUUCGACCACGUCGCGCGUAG